rfam:Trichomonas vaginalis G3, whole genome shotgun sequence.
GUAGUCUGCCAUACGCAGGAAGACCCGCUGAACUGAAGCAUCUCAUUAAGCGGAGGAAAAGAAACUAACUAGGAUUCCCUUAGUAAAGGCGAUCGAAAAGGGAACAGCCCAACGUCUUAAUCCCGCAAGGGAAAUGUAGUCGGUUCACCUAUUGCACUGGUCUAAGUCAGAUGGAAUGCUGCGCGAUUCAGAGUAAAAGCCUCGUAUGACCAACCGCAAGCUUACGAUGGACCGGGGAGAGUCGGAUACUUUGAGAGUAGUGUCUUAAGGGGGUGGUAUGUCCCAUCCAAGGCUAAAUAACGUGAGGAGACCGAUAGAUUACAAGUAGUGUGAACGAAAGAUGAAAAGAACUCUAAAACAGAGGGUGAAAAGUUCCUGAACUUGCUUAGGGUUAAGGCUAUUUAUAGUACCCGUCUUGAAACACGGAUUAGGGAGUUUAUCUGUAGUGCGAGUCUUUGCACGUUAACUGUAAAGGCGUAGAGAAAGCAACUGGCGUUUGCAUGGCUACUGAGCAUUACUGAUAGGACCCGAAAGGUGGUGAACUUUGCCUGCACAGGUUGAAGUCAGGGGAAACUCUGAUGGAGGACCGUACGGGUUAUUGAUGUGCAAAUCAUUUUUCUGAUGUAGGUAAAGGUGCGAAAGACUCAUCGAACCACCUAAUAGCUGGUUUCCUCCGAAGUUUCCCUCAGGAUAGCUGUAAUGCAUUUAGUUAAGGGGAGUAGAGAUAUGGGUAGAGGUGCAGGGAGCCUUCGGGUUCUCAACUUAUUUCCAAACUUCGAACCUCCUUGUUAGGCAUUUACCUAACUGGAAAUGCUUAAAUGAAUUAGCGUUACAAGUGGGCUCUGACCGGUAAGCGGUCAUGGCGAAAUGGGAUGAACCAUACGUCUGAAUAAGGUGCCGAAAUGUACUAUCACUGAUACCAUAAAGGGAGUCCAUGUAUUUAGACAGCAGGUCGGUGCCCCUAAAAGCAGGUAUCCGCUAAAGAGUGUGUUAAAACUCACCUGCCGAAUACUAGGGCCCCGAAAAUGAAUGGCGCAUAUAGUACUACCGAUCUCAGACAUCAGUUCUAUUGAACUGAGAGUAGGGGGAUGUGGACAUUUUUGUGAAGGUGCAAUGUGAGUUGGACUGGAAGAAUGUCUAUUACAGAUCCUAAUUGAAGUAGCGAUUAUCCAGGCUUGUAUCCUGGGGGCUGAUGAGGAGUAGGGUUUCUGGACAACUUAAACAGAUCCAGAGUUAGUCGAUCCUAAUCUCAAUAAUGGGAGAAAGGGAGUACAGUUGAUAUUCUGUAACUGACAACAGUUCGCGGCAACGCAUACUAUUUUUCUCCGCCAAUCUUAUACCGUUGGUAGGGAUCUCUUUCCUACAUGACAGUACUAAUACCCAGGGAAACUGGUCAUCAGGCGAACUGCGGCGUUCUGCUGGCAAAACAUAGCUUCGGUUAUGUCAAUGGCUAUUGGAUUGGUCCAUGAAGCGAAAAAUAGUUUACUGUGUCACUCGUACCGAUAACCGCAUCAGGUCUUCUAGGUAAGUAGCCUAUGGCCAUUGAGGCAUGAUAGUUCAGGGAAUUCGGCCAAUUAGAGCUGUAACUUCGGGAUAAAGCUUGGCUCUGAUGAAAAUCAGAACCG